CUCAGUCGUGUUGCUUUGUUCUAGAUCAGGGUAUCUGUUUUACAACUGAUCUCGAUCUAGUUGUUUUCUUUGUUUUGCUAAUCCUUCCUCUGAUCGAUUUUGCCUUAUUGCUUUGUUCUCGAUCGGAAGAACUCGCUACCAGUAAAGCACCUUUGUGGCCCACCCAAGAAGCAGAUCUAGGCGGGGAUGGCGAUGGCGUGCUGAGGGUUGAAUCCAGCUCCCAGUUAGUUUCCCAUCUCCUCUAUUUUACUACUCAAGUCUCUAGACUAGAUCUCAACCUAGUUGUUCUCUCUUUUUUUGGCUACUCCUUCCUCUAAUCUGACUCAGUCUUGGUGCUUUGUUCUAGAUCAAGGUAUCGGCUAUUCUUCCUCUAAUCGACUCGGGUCUUAUUGCUUUGAUCUAGAUCAAGGUAUCUAUUUUACUACUCUAGAUCUCGAUCUAGCUGUUACCUUUUAUUUGCUACUCCUUCCUCUAAUCGACUCGGUCUUGUUGCUUUGUUCUAGAUCAAGGUAUCGGCUAUUACUCCUCUAAUUGACUCGGUCUUAUUGCUAUGUUCUAGAUAAAGGUAUCUGUUUACUACUCUAGAUCUCGAUCUAGUUGUUCUCUUUGAUUUGCUAAUCCUUUCUCUAAUUGAUUUGGUCUUAUUGCUUUAUCCAGAUCAGAAGAACUCGCUACCGGUAAAGCACCUUUGUGGCCCACCCAAGAAUCAGAUCUAGGAUGGCGUGCUGUGAUGGCUGAAUCCACCUCCCGGUUAGUUUCCCAUCUCCUUUCUCUGUUUUACUAUAGAUCUGAUCUAGCUAUUCUCUGCUACUCCCUCCGUAAAUAAAUAUAAGAGCAUUUAGAUCACUACUUUAGUGAUCUAAACACUCUUAUAAUUCUUUACAGAGGGAGUACUAUUCUACUCGUCACCUCCUCCUGCUGCUACCUAGGAUAGAAGAGGAAGAAUAACCAAUACCUUGAUCUAGAACAAAGCAACAAGAUCGAGUCGAUUAGAGGAAUGUUUAGGAAGGAGUAGCAAAAUAAAGAGAACAGCUAGAUGAAGAUCUAGAAUAGUAAACUAGGUACCAAUAAGACCGCGUUGAUUAGACGAAGAAUAACAAAUACCUUGAUCUAGGAGAAAGAAACAAGACCGAGUUGAUUGGAGGAGGGUAGAGGCAGUUCCUCAGUCUGCUCUGCCUCCGUCACCAUCAUGGGGAGGAUGAUCAAUUGGGUGUGCUUAUCAGGACUUCAGGCAGAUAACAAGGAGCAAUCAAGAAAGAGUGGGUGUGUCUGGUGUUCCUAAGGUGCUAAGUGCCAUUGUCCCAAGCUCUUCUGAGCUUGGCAUACAACAACCAGAGCUCGUGAUUAGAACUUUUGCUUUUAACUCUUGUAAAGUUCAAAUCUUAGAUUCCAAAGUUGAUUUUCAAGGAAGGUGGAACUUUUGGAUUUGAAGUCUUGGCACAUUUUGUAGGUGAGCUGGAAUUGGUCCUACUAGCCAGAUGGCAACUAAGGCUUCCGAUAAAGAACGUGCUCCUCCUUGCUAGAUCCCCCACCUUUGUCAUGUCUGUCCUUCUCCACCACCAGAUCCAUCGAGGUCCGGGCAACAUUAAGCACCUCCUCCUUGGAUCAGAUAAUUCAAGUCAUCGUCAUCACUCGCUCUGGUAGCGAAAGAGUUGGGAGUGGCAGGCGCCAUGGAUGGAGGCUCUGGUGCUAUUGGCCUAGACAGGUAUGCCAUUUCCACUCUUUUUUCUUGCUUGCAUCCUCUUCCUUUCUUCAUUGUGUGAGGUUAUCACCAGACUAGCACCUAAACAGUAGAUGGAAGUAUAUUUCCUACACGAACAGCCUCGAGAUUACGUGAUAAGUUCUGAUGGCAUGAAAAAAGCUGUUUUUAAGGCAAAUACGGUUGCUAAUAAUAAGUCAACAACCAGCCCCAAGAUAAACUUGGCUACAAUGUUGGAUCAUCAUACCUACAAUGCAGCAAUACAUUUCAGUUUCAUUUACGCGUGAGACUAUUCUAUAAUAGUAAAACCCUACACGUGACUGUGCCACACGAGGGGGCGCGCGGGGGGGGGAGGAGUUGUUCCCUUACACUGAUACAGAUGAACCGGCUGGAGCACCACACAGUCCUGCCAGGAAUAUCCCAAUGCCCUGCACGUAGACACUUUAAUAGCAGCCCAGAAGAAUCCGCACAAGAGUCAAAGAAAGUAUGGCACAAUCAAUCAUCACAUCACAUAGGAAGUAUUUGAAACUAUUUGUGCUCUAGCAUAUACAUCCAGUUAAAGCAUUUGUAAGGAGAAGGAAAGCAUUCAAAUUCUAGUAUUCAUGGAUAACCAUAUUUCACUAGCCCUUAUAAGACAACUUCUGAAAUGACAGUCACCUGUAAACCAAUACUUCGAGUAAGAACAUGAGCUGGGGGUGGUGUUGCACCGGCUAGACGUGCAGUUGCAAAGUGUGCACCGGUUGACUACACAAGAUAGCACAAUUAGGUUCCAGCAGAAAGAAUGCACGAAAGAAGAUAGAACAAAGGGAAAUCCAAUUAGUCUUAACCUCAAAAGAUGAAACAAGCACAGCACCCAUCAUUCCAAAUGAAUGACCUGCAGUGAAGAUUGGUGGACCCCAAUGGAAGGGGUAUGAAAUUUUGAUCCUGAAAGUGCAGGCAUGCAAAGAGUGGAUUAAAAAUGGCUGCUUCAAACAUUUGCGAUUCGUAAAGUUAGUUCAUAAGAAAUAUCCUCAAGAACCAUACCAUGGUGCAGAUGAUAUAAGGAAAGACUUGUCAGUGCGGCAGUGCUGUUGUGUCUUGAGCGAAACAUGGUUGUAUGCACCAGCAGCAGUAAGGAUAGCUGCAAAGGCCCACACGAUGCCGAUACAAAGAAGCAACGAAUACCUCUCAAACAAGAAGGUUGUGCGCUCAUGGAUAUGUCUGAAGUAAAGUGGCGCAUACUGCAUAGAGCAAAUUGAACAGUUGGUUCCUAGCCAGCUUCACAAAUCAUAGCAUAACUAAAAUGGAAAUUAAUCGAUAUUUCGAUCAGAAAAUACAAAAAGGAGAUUUAAGUUGUUACCUGUUGCACAACAAUCGCAAGAAUUAGCAUUGGCAACCCAAUCUCAACACAUUUUCCAACCUACCAUGGAGAAUAAACAUUAUAUGUUUCCAUUCUUUCUUUCUCAAUGUUAAGUCCUCUGCUAAAAUAUAGAAAUCAUACCUGAGGAAAGCCAAUUUGAAAUAGUCCAAGACCAACGACACAAACAACAGGAGUCAUUAUUACAGGACUGAAUUUCCUGCGAAAUAAAAUUACAUGAAUAUUAAUAGCUUCAAAAGAAAAUAAUACUAUAUUAAGUCUAAGAACUAGUACUACAGGAUGCAUACUUGGCAAAUGCCCCCCAUGCUCUGCUGUAUCCAAGAAUCAUGUUGAGGAUUGAAGCAACAAUUAGAGCCCCUUGAGUUGCUCUCAUUGUGUGAACGAAUCUCUGCAGAUGCCUCAAUAGUUAGAAGUGUAAAUAUUACCAUGUGAAAGAUAAUUUAUCAAUGAAUCCUCGAAAGAACUAUCAUUCCAAAUAACAUUUGCCAAAACGCAACAAGGAGCAUGGUUAAACAUUACAGAUAAAAGAGUGUUAUGACUGAGCAAAUUAGCACCACUCUACCUCAUGAUUACUUUCAAAGUCGUUUGUGUUAAACUGUCUGGCUAUUGACAGCACUGGGACAACAAAUGCGAAGGAGGCAUUCAUAACUGUUGGAAGCCGUGUCCCAACGAGUGUUUGGAGCAGAGUAUUAAUGCCACUCACAAACAGGAAUGCUUGAAUAACACGAGCCUUCUCACCCUAUCAAUAAGAACAACAAAAGCAGCAGGGAAUCAACACUAAAUCUUCAAAAGGAAAUUACAUUGAUGCAGAACAAAAUGCUAUGAAUAGCAAAGCAAAUUGAUAUACUCACAGGACCACCACCCAUUGCAGGAACAAUAAUUGACACAAGCAUGACAGUAGAGCCCAACAUCACUAGGUAGUGGAGGAAUGCAAGCCCUGCUACCUGAACUGUAGAUGAUGGUACAAUAGAACAGGGUAAGUGCAAGUUUUACAUAUAUCCUAAUCAUAUCCAAACAAGGAAACCAAUUCCAGGCUUCCAGCAGUACUGUUCAUACCUAAAUAUAUGCAAAGGAGAAGUAUAAAAGACUACAGGAGAUAUGCAGACAAAGACUUUUCUUAAAGAUUAGGCAUCAAUAGACUUUUCUUUUCUAUACUUCAAAGUGGCAGAUCACAACAAUUCCUCUUUUUGUUCCAUGAAAAAAACAUUGCCUCUUAUAGCAGCACCUGAUAGAAGUGUUGCUAGCUGUCUAAAUGAACAUCCCAGAUUCAGAUCAAGAAUAGUAGGUACAGCCCUUUACAGAUCAACAAAGUAUGCAAUAACAAAGGCUAUAAUUCUACAUGAACAGGAGAUUCAAGAAAAUCAAUACAUCAGUGAAGUCGAUUAUAUGUGGGGACUUUACAAAACAGAGCAUUAUUGAACGCAACCAAACCGAAAUCUGAGAUAGGCCUUGAACAAAAGAAUGACCAAGAACCAUCUGCAAACCAAAAUUAAAGAUGCCUAAAUCUGUAGAUAGUAGUACUAGAGAUCAGACUGCUACUUCGUCCUGUAUGCACACAAUCGAACUGUACAUGCGGAAGCAAAAGAAAGUAAAAGCGGGCAGAGGAGUUAAGAGGGGAGCCAGGAUUGGAUUUCCGUACCCCAGGAAGGAUUGGAGUGGACGCAGUAGUUGAGUUGGUUGAACUGCUCGUAGGGCUGGUGCAUGGCGCCGGCGCCAACCGGAGCGUUCAUCAUGGGCUGCAUCCCCAUGGGCGGUGGCACGCCCACCGGCGGCGGCACCCCGGGCUGGUGGUUCAUCUCGCCCAUUGGAUCAACACCAACUCAAGCAAGAACACUCUCUCGCCUUGGACCAGACCAGAAACUGCUGCACAGGAAGGAGAAAACAAUCAGGAGACGCUCUUGGGUCUUCACACCUUUGUCCCCCUUUUAUGCGCGCAGUCGGGGGGCUUCGCAUUGAUUGCACAAAAUUUUUAGCAGUGCAUAAAACGAAAUUUGGGGCAUUUAAUCAGUAGAGUAAACCAGCGCCAAGAAAUGGCUGGUGGGAGUAACUACACUCCAAAGAUUGCAGCUCUCGCCUCUCACAAGGGGAUGAAAAAACGGCCACUUUGCCAGCAGAGAAGAGAACACAGACACUCCAGCCUUGCUGCUGCUGCUUGUAUCUUACCCUAGCUCACAAGAAUUGACCACGACUCCUUGGCCAUGGGCGACUCACUCACAAGCAAAGAUGCAAAUCUUGAGAGGGAAAAAAGACCAAGACCUGUGUAGUAGUACUAGUAUUAUCCUACGGUUGGGAGGAAAGUGACAGGCAGAGAGAAAGAGAAACAUCAACAAGAUAUGGCCGAUGAGAGCCUCACUUGGGUGAUUCCUGCAAGUUUGUCCCAAGAAGAAUCUCCAAAGAAAACGCAGCGAAAAGGUUGCGAGAAUUAGAAAAGGCAAAAAAGGCCUCACAUCAGCACAUUAAAAUAAGGGGCAGAAGCGAAUCAAACCAAAUUAAUACUCUGCACACGAAAAGCAGCAGGGGGGGAAGAAAGAACUCACUCACCGAAUUCAGAGGCUGGAUUCUCUCCCAACCCACCUCCCGGAAAGAAAGUAAGAAAGCGCCGGAAAAUCUCCCCGGGGAGCGCAGAGAAAGGCCAAAAAUUAUGAGCUCCAAAAGCCUCCAGCCUUUAUUAUUUCUUUUCCGUUUCUUCUCCUCCUUAUCUCCUUUCUAUGGCCGCCCUCCCGAGAGCAGCGCCAGCGGCAGCAGCGGCAACAGGACAAACGCGGGAUUUUGUAAUCUUGCGGGCAGCAGCAGCAGAGGAAAAGGGAUCGCGAGCUCGAAGGCCUCGCCUUCACUGCUGGUCUCGCUUCGCGAGCACCCCGCUAAUCGCACUGGCGGUAAUCAGCGGAGGCGAGAGGGCGGAGAAGCUCGCUCGCGCGCCGCUAAUGGAGGAGGCCGAACAGUGGUGGCUGAUGGGGCUUGGAGCCUUUGGCUGGAUCUAGGUAGCUGGGGCGCAUUAGAAAAAUGCUUGUUUUUCGAAAGUUGUAUUGAAUGCAACAGAUUCCGAGGAUGGGGAGGGGGGUGGUGCCGCAGCAUUAAAAUUGGAUUGACGCGGGCGAGAGGUUCUUCUGCGCCGCUCGCUCGCUCGCUGCUUCCCCGAGUGGUGCUAGCGACUGUAGGUCCCAUCACAUUUGGCGGAUGGGACAGCGAUCUUCUACCAGGAUUUUUCAUCAGUCCGGAUUUCUACCGUGUUGCUGCGUUCCUGGAUAGCCCACCUGCGAAAAUCAGAUUGCGCUACAGGGCGCCUCCUCCCGGGACUCUUCGUGUAGUCCGAUCUGCCCGGACGGCGCGCACCCGAAUAGAUGACCUCAUGGGUCCAUGACAAGUGGACCGCGGGUGCCGCGCGGCCUGGGGUCACCGCAUGUGAUGGUUUCGGUUACGCGCGCAUGCGCCCUCUCAUGGGAAAAAAAAAUUAUGAUGUCAUAAACAUCAGCUUCUUAUUAGACCUUUCAUAUCCAUCUGAAAACAAAUAUACAUUGAAUUAUUACUAGGGCGUACAAUUCUACGACGAUUUUGUCAUUUUUUCAUGUACUGAAAGCAAGAGUGUCACACUCGAUGACAUUGGUAGAGAAGACCAACAAUAAGGAGCUCUUGACAAAACAGCGUCAGAAAUUUCAGGUACAGAACACGGCUUCAGAUGUUGCGCGGUUUAGUUUCACUACUCAAGGUGGGCGCAAAAAAUUUGGGACAUAAUAUAAAAUAUGUCCAUGGUCCUUAGAGUGGUGAAAUUAAACUGAGCACCAUCUGAACUCUUGUUCUCUAGCUGAAGCUUCUGAUGUUGUUUCGCCAGGAGCUCCUCGUUGUUGGUUUUGACUACUAGUGUCAUCGAGUCUAGCACUCUGAUGUUUAGUACAAAAAAAGUGACAAAAUCGGUGUUAGAUUUUAUGCCUCAAUCAUAAUCCAACGUAUAUUGUUUUCAUAUGGAUGUCAAAAUAUCUCAUAAGAUCCUGGUGUUCACGACGUCACGAAUUCUUUUUCCUGUGCUCCUUCUCAAUCUUCUACCAGGAUUUCGGUAGGAAUUUCAACGGUAUUGCUGCAUUCCUGGUACUACUACUAGAAAACAAUACAAAUAACUUGACUAGUACACUAGUUAUGGUUGGAUGAAUCUUACACAAUGUCUACCGAGCAGGAUUUUUUUUAUUUGUUGUUUUUACUAACAAGGCAUUUCUAGUUGAAAGGAAAAAAGCCAUGUUUGAAAGACAAAAAAAGUUCAUAAUCUUGUAGAUGUUGAACUGUUUCAUCUGAAAUUCCUGUAAAUAUCAAUAGCAGUUUCAUGUUCAUUUGAAAAGCCUAUACGACUAUAUGAGACACAACAAUUUUGAAGGUUUUCAAAUGCUCGAAAUACGAAAUAUUGCCAUAUUAGAAUAUGAACUAGGCCUUGCUAGCUACUCGUUGGCUUGGUGGGGCUUCCAAUUUUUUCCAAUGUUCAACAAAUCAAAUUCUUUUGUCAAAACAUUAUGCAUUAUUCAUUGCUUCAUAGAAAUCGAUAACCAAAACACUACCAUGUUGUUUUAAAUCUGUAGAAAACAGAUAACUUGACCACCAGUUAUGACAAGAUGAUGCUAGUAGAAAGCAUGGGGCCAAUUCACAUGUGUUUUUAUGCAUAAUAUGAUCCUAGAUGAGCUAGGAAAUGAUUAAAAAAUCCUAUAGUUUCCAUGCAUAAUAUGGUGUUACUUUGAAUCUUACAGGUGUUUCACAGGAAACAGUUCAAUGUCUAACGAACUGAAAGUUUUUUUUUCCUGACCAUGGCAUUUCUAGUCAAUAGGAAUACGCUAUGUGUUGGAAGACAAACUUCUUUCCAGCAUCUAGUAGAUGUUGAACUGUUUCCUCUGACAUUCCUGUAAAUUUCAUGAGUAGUUUUGUAUUCCUUUGAAAAACCUAUACGAGACUUCGUAGUUUUCAAAGGAUCAAAAUAUGAAAUGCUACCAUAUUAUGAACUAGGUCAUGCUACUUACCUAUCGGUUGUGUGGGGCUUCCAUUUUUUAAUGAUUAGUGAAUCAAAAUAUUUUAUCACAACUGUAUAAUUCAUGCAUUCUUCUUUAUCGAUGACCAAUAUAUGACACAACCAUAGUGGCAUGUGAUACUUGCUAGUCAUUAUGGGCCUCAUUUGAGACCGAGAGUCAUUCUUCAACUUCCAUUACAAAAUAUAGUCAGUCUCUAUAUAACAUUGCACAAGGGAGAAUACAGGUGAUACCUCCAGCUGGAUGCUCUCAUGCUACCAAAUCAAAAAGUUCAAACUUAAAUGAUUCAAAAAAUUCCAAGAAAGUUUGUGAAUAUUUACAACACAUGUAUCUACGAAUGCUAAAAAAUUCAGAUCCUAAUUCAAAGUACACAUAGAGAGGCAAAUUCAACAUGAAUAGUGUCAAUAAAGACAAAAACAUGAAUAGUGUAAAAACUACACUAUUCACAUCUCGAUUUAUCUUUUUGUUUCUCAAUGCGUAUAUCGAACUUGGAUCUGAAUUCUUUAGCGGUCAUAGACACAUGUGUUGUGAACAUUCAUGUUUUUUUAAAAAAAUUGAAUAAAGUUCAAAUUUUCAAAUCCGUAUCAUGGGAGCAUCAAAGUGGUGGCAUCACCUGAUAUUUCCCUCCUGCACAACUCACUCUAAAAGGACCUAAGUGGAACACUGAAGGAGUUUUAGUUUUCAGGAAUAUUCAUAUAAUAUAUGGAUGUACUAGCAAAAAAAUGUGAUGUCUUAAACUAGCAGGAUGACCCUCGCAUUUGCAUGGCUAGAAUUUUUUUUUGUUUUCUGCUACAUUUUUGUUUCCAUGUAUGCAUUAUAUUAUCUUUGAAACAUUGUCCAUUGUUGUCACAAUUUACAGAUUUUCCCAAACACAAGUUUUUUAAGAUAUAGUUUUCCUCGGCAUUGGAAAUGUUUAUAGUUCAAUAAACACCUUGGGGAAAUAUUGUUGGAAUUUGGUGGGAAAAUCAAUUUAUAUGUGUCACACUGAUGCUAAUGAUAUUCAUAUGUGAUAGUUGAACACUAAACGAAUUGUCUUUCCAUGAAUAGUUUUAAUCAAUUUGUUCAAUAAUACUUAAAGCUAAACAUCGGUGACAUGUAUUUAAUUCUUUUGCAAUCUUCAUACAUUUGUAUCAUGAUGAUGAUGAUGAUGAUCUUCCUCAUUAGCACACUCUUUUAUCACGCUUGUCACACAAGUAGAACGAUAUGUGUGCUCUGUUGUGUGAUAAAUGUGAUAAAAGGGUCUAUUGAUGAGGCAGGUGAUCACAUCAUCAUCAUCACGAGAUAGAUUUAUGAAGAGAACAUAAUAUUUAAAUACUUGCCAUCAAUGCUUGGACUUAUAUUGUUGGUACAGCAACAACCAUUCACUAGGGUUGCCUCGAGUAUCGUGAUUGGAGUUGAGUGUCUUGCGGAUAUCGCUGAACACCAAAUGUCAAUUGGGGUGUGUAUGUCGGUCUUUACUCCUACAAAGUAUGUUGGAGUAUCCCGCCUCCUGGGAGCCUUUGCGGGUGACGAAGCCCUCUACGGCGUUCGUUUAGUGCUUGUGUGCCGCAGGCACCUCCCUGGGCUCUUCGUGCCGCCCAAUCUAAUCGGAUGGUGAGCACCCAGACGGAUGGCUUUAGGGGUCCAUGAUGGGUGGACCGCGGGUGCGACCGGCGCCAGCAUCAUGUGCUGGUUUUGGUAGCGCAUGUCGGUGCCCUAUCGCUAGGAAAAAGAAUCUGUGGCAUCGUAAACACCGAAAUUUUAUCAGAUCUUUUGGCAUCCAUCUGAAAACAAUGUACAUUGGAUUAUUACUGGGCCAUAAAACUUGACACCAGUUUUUGUCAGUUUUUUGUACUGAACGCUAGACUGCUAGACUUGAUGAUACUGGUUGUCAAGACCAACAAUGAAGAGUUCGUGGCAAAGCAACACUAGAAGCUUCAACUAGAGAACAAGGCUUCAGAUGGUGCUCAGUUUAAUUUCACUACUCAAGGUGGACGCAAUUUUUUUGGACAAAAUAUAAAAUAUGUAUGAUGAUCUAGAUUUAUUUGAUCUUUUCAAAAUAUUUCAUUGAAAGUACUUCAUUCGGUCGAGUAAGAUGUAUACCCAAUAAGUGUAUCUCAUUUUGUCUCUCAUACAAAGCAUAUGUUUUAUUACUUGUAUUUGAUAUUUGUAUUAUCUAGAACCUUGGAAGAUUCAAACAAACUUAUCAAUAAUUAUGAUGUUAACU
rnacentral:lncRNA from 1 species